UACGUAGGGGGCUAGCGUUGUCCGGAAUCAUUGGGCGUAAAGCGCGUGUAGGCGGCCCGGUAAGUCCGCUGUGAAAGUCGGGGGCUCAACCCUCGGAUGCCGGUGGAUACUGUCGGGCUCGAGUACGGAAGAGGCGAGUGGAAUUCCGUGGUGUAGCGGUGAAAAUGCGCAGAUAUCAGGAGGAACACCAAUUGCGAAGGCAGCUCGCUGGGACGUUACUGACGCUGAGACGCGAAAGCGUGGGGAGCAAACGGG
rnacentral:rRNA from 1 species